CAGACAAGGGAGCUGUCUGGGUCACCUAGAAAGAAUGUGGCAAGGUCUGUGUCACGCUGGUGUUCCUUAUGGGGGUGGGGGAAGUUAAGGAAAAGUCAGAUGCUGUGAGUUUUGGAUGGUUCCAGAACUUUCACUGCAGUUCACCGAUAAAUAAGGUAAACUGUAGAGAUGCCAGAGCACUUCCUGUUCUUACAGAGGACCUGGGUUUGACUUCCAGAACGCACAUGGUGGCCCACAAUCUUCCAUAUCUCCAUUUUCAUGGCAUCUUGUGCCCUCUUCAAAUCUCUGAGCGUGCCAGUCACAUGCAUGUGACAUGUGACAUACAUACAGGCAAAAGAUUCACACACACACACACAAAUAAAAUAAGUACAUUAAAAAAUAAAACAGUACAGGUGAAAAAAAAGAUUAAGCAUAGGCCAUCAAGACGGCUCCGUGUGCGAAGCAUUUGCCGUACAAGCCUGACAACUUGGGUUCCAUCACCGGAACCCACAUAAAGGUGGGAAUGAUGCCUCAGGGUAUCGUCUGAUCUCCACAUAGGCACUGUGGUGUGUGUGUACCCCACAUACGCAUCACACACACACACACACACACACUAACAGACUUAGUGUGGGGGCUAAAGAGAUAGAUCAGGGAGCUGGAGAGAUGGCUCAGUGGUUAAGAGUACUGACUGCUCUUCCAGAGAACUCAGGUUCAGUGUCUUACAGUGAUCUAGAAAACUAUAGCUUCAAGGGAUCUGAAGGCUUGUUCUGGCCUCUGAGGGCACAAGAUACACACAGUGCAUUUAAACACACAUAAGUGAAACAUUUGUAUACAUAAAACCCAGAAAAUGAGGUAAAAUAAAGUAGAGAUUGUUUGAAACGGAGCGUAUGCUGGGGAUGAAGACUGUCCGCGAGACGAAGACCCUUUCAACCGCCAGGUGUCGCUGUGGGAAAGGAAAGAGCUACAGAGCUAGCUGGCCAGAACUGGGGCCUCCAGCGGGUUGAUUAGACCUGUGAGCCUAAGCUGAGCUGAACAGUGCAUGCUGGCCCUGAGGAGACCAUCGGAGGGGAGAUGUGAAGUAUCCUCAUAGCAGGACGACAAAGCCAGGUGGAUUGUGGAAAAAACGGCCAUGGAUUCUGGAGGCAAGAAAUCAGAAGAGCCUGUUGGAUCCCUGGAGCUAGAGAUGUGAGCUGCCAAAUGAACGCUCAGAGAACAUUAUGAGAAAAGCAGCAGAGAGAAUGUAAGAGAUGGAGCAAGGAUUGGAGCGCUGGGAGCUACUUACUCAAGAGGAAAGGUCAUUAAAACCCAGGAAGUAGAACAAACUUACAAAUUCUAGGAAGCACCAGAAAUGUACAAGAUUGACAAGGCCUCCUCCCAAGGGUGGACAUGUUUCUGUUUGGAACAACAAAGCUGCCUUUGAGUUAACAUCUGGUCAGGUAGUCCCUGACUGAUGGAGAUUUGAUAGGUCCCUCAUCCCCCAAGCAUACACAAAGCAGCAAGGACUGCUGAGAGAUGCUCUCAGACAGGCUGAGCUACCUAGAAGCUGAGCUCAGUACAACUGCCAGGAAGAGGCCCAGAGCACCGAGACUUGGACACUGGUGGUAUGCACACUUUGGUCUGUCUUUGAUUCCCUAUUUGGGGAAGCCUCACUGGACCCAGAGCUCACCCACUGGGCUAGACUGGUGGCCAGCAAGACCCAAGAAUCUCCUGCCUCAACCUCAGAACUGGAUGAUAGGGGCUCACUGCUGCACCUGACUUUUUCACAUGACUGCUUGGGAAUCGAACCCAGGUCCUUGAGCUUGCAUGGUUAUUGCUUUCCCGCCUGAGCCAGCUUCUCAGCCUUUUCUUUUUGAGACAAGGUCUCCUGUAGCCCAGUC